CGGCCGCGGACGAGGGAACCGGAGGACAACAAGUUGACAACUAUGAAGACUUAUCGUAUGGAAAAUAGACGAAAAAAAUACGAAUGUGGAUCAUGUCAUAGAUACUUUACAACCAUGCAAUCUGUGUUGUAUCAUUUACACACGAUGCAUGGAAAAAGAUAAUGGUUCUGAGUGCAGGGAAGAUCAUCGAGUUUGACAGCCCUCAAAACCUUCUGAACCACAGGGGAAGUGUCUUCUAUGCGAUGGCGAGUGACGCUCAUUUGCUUUGAAUAUUGGAUAUACAUGUGUAAUCUUGAAUUAAAUAAUGGUCAUUUCUACCUAAUUUUGAAAAAAAAUAUAGCUCAGCAAGCCAUGUAUACAAGGGUAAAUAAGAAUCACCUUAUCUGUCUUUGCAAUCAGAUUGUUGUUGAAACUUAGUGAUAAAAAAACUUACAAACUCAUACCUUAUACCAAUACUUCCUAUGAUGUAAGAAGGUGACAAUCUGAAAUUUGAAUGAAAGGACAAUAGUUUAUAAUUUCAACAAGGCCAAUUUUUGCAGAGUUUAUGCUUUAUAUCUUUAUACCCAUGGCUCUCAUUUUAUUACAUCUACAUUCAAUUAUUUAAAGAAUAAUUUUCAUGCACUUAUUUCUUUCACUUCUUUAAAAUAAAAAAAAAGAAUUCUGAA